rnacentral:rRNA from 1 species
CCUACGGGCGGCAGCAGUGAGGAAUAUUGGUCAAUGGACGAGAGUCUGAACCAGCCAAGUAGCGUGAAGGAUGACUGCCCUAUGGGUUGUAAACUUCUUUUAUAUGGGAAUAAAAUGUUCCACGUGUGGGAUUUUGUAUGUACCAUAUGAAUAAGGAUCGGCUAACUCCGUGCCAGCAGCCGCGGUAAUACGGAGGAGCCGAGCGUUAUCCGGAUUUAUUGGGUUUAAAGGGAGCGUAGGUGGAUUGUUAAGUCAGUUGUGAAAGUUUGCGGCUCAACCGUAAAAUUGCAGUUGACACUGGCAGUCGUGAGUACAGUAGAGGUGGGCGGAAUUCGUGGUGUAGCGGUGAAAUGCUUAGAUAUCACGAAGAACUCCGAUUGCGAAGGCAGCUCACUGGACUGCAACUGACACUGAGGCUCGAAAGUGUGGGUAUCAAACAGGAUUAGAUACCCUGGUAGUC